CCAGUGACUCUGUUCAACGGCCGCGGUAUCCUAACCGUGCGAAGGUAGCGUAAUCACUUGUUCUUUAAAUGAGGACUAGUAUGAAUGGCCCCACGAGGGCUGCACUGUCUCCUUUUUCUAAUCAAUGAAACUAAUCUCCCCGUGAAGAAGCGGGGAUAAUCCUAUAAGACGAGAAGACCCUAUGGAGCUUUAAACAACUGAAACAAUUGCUUCUUCCUUAGCUUCUCCCGAGCUCUUUAUUUUACUUAAGCAUCUUUAUUUCUAGUUUUAGGUUGGGGUGACCACGGAGCAAAACUAAACCUCCAUGAAGAAAUGAGUAUUUUUAAGCCACAAACUACUUUUUUAAGCAUCAACAAAUUGACCUUUAUUGACCCAAUAUAUUGAUCAACGAACCAAGUUACCCUAGGGAUAACAGCGCAAUCUACUUCAAGAGCUCAUAUCGACAAGUAGGUUUACGACCUCGAUGUGCUUACCGUGUUACG
rnacentral:rRNA from 1 species